AAGAAAGUAAAGAAGGGCGCAUGGAGGAUGCCUAGGCUCUCAGAGGCGAGGAAGGACGCGAUAAGCUGCGAAAAGCCCCGGGGAUCGGCACAUACGACUCGAUCCGGGGAUAUCCGAAUGGGGCAACCCGGCUGGUUGAAGACCAGUCACACCUUCGGGUGAGCGAACGCGGGGAACUGAAACAUCUAAGUACCCGCAGGAAGAGAAAAUAACAAUGAUUCCCUAAGUAGUGGCGAGCGAACGGGGAAGAGCCCAAACCAGGGCUGUCAAGGCAGCGCUGGGGUUGUAGGACCACGACGUGGGACCAAGAAUUGAAGCUUAACUACCUGGGAAGGUAGGCCAUAGAGGGUGAUAGCCCCGUCAGCGCAAGCUUCUUGGCCCUAGUGGUAUCCUGAGUAGGGCGGGACCAGAGAAAUCCCGUCUGAAUCCACCGGUACCAUCCGGUAAGGCUAAAUACUCCUGAGAGACCGAUAGUGAACCAGUACCGUGAGGGAAAGGUGAAAAGAACCCCGAAUAGGGGAGUGAAAUAGAACCUGAAACCAUGCGCCUACAAGCGGUCGGAGCCCCUUCGUGGGGUGACGGCGUGCCUUUUGCAUAAUGAGCCUACGAGUUACUCCUCCC
rnacentral:ncRNA from 1 species